UCCAGGGUAGCUUAGUGGAUAUGGCAUCUGCCUGGUAAGCGGAACACUGGAGGUUCGAUUCCCAUCCCUGGGC
rnacentral:tRNA from 1 species